rnacentral:tRNA from 1 species
GGCGGGAUAGCUCAGUUGGUAGAGCAGUGGACUGAAAAUCCAUGUGUCCCCAGUUCAAGUCUGGGUCCUGCCACCA